AUGGCCGUGGGCACAUCCUCUUCGAUGCUCGGCGGCGCUCUCCUCCUCCUACUUGUCCUCUCCUCGGCCAUUGAUGUUCACGGCGGGUCAAGCUCCAGCGCCGCGCCACGUUCCCCGCUGGACGAGCUCUGCAUCGGCCUAGGCGGCUGGUACGUCACGCCGGACAUGUGCGUGUCCGCGCUCUGCAUUGACCCCUCCUGCCGCUCCGCACGCGGCUUGCCGGAGCUCGCGGUUCUGGCCACCAAGCUGACGGUGGCCAACGCCACAGUAGCCAAAACCAGCAUCGAGUCUGCGCUCGCCCAUGCCAAGAACGUCAAGGCCAGGAAGGUCAUGCGGUCGUGCCUGCAGCUCUACGUCGGCGCCGUCCCGCGGCUGCAGUGGGCGGCGCGGUCGGUCGCUGCGGGGCGAUAUAGCGGCGUUCCGGACGUGCUAGAGGCAGCCUAUAGGGACGUGUCACAGGGGUGCAGCAGCUUGGCCGGCGAGGUGGCGCUUCCCAAGGAGAACAACGAGUUCUUCAUGAUGGCCUUCGUCGUGCACGCCGUCGUCGAUCGGGUGCAGCGUAUUAUCGGCUGA
rnacentral:rRNA from 1 species